AAACAUCUAAGUACCCCGAGGAAAAGAAAUCAACCGAGAUUCCCUCAGUAGCGGCGAGCGAACGGGGAUUAGCCCUUAAGCAUCUUGGAAGUUAGUGGAACGGUCCUGGAAAGGCCGGCGAUACAGGGUGAUAGCCCCGUACACGAAAACAACCUUGAUGUGAAAUCGAGUAGGGCGGGACACGUGACAUCCUGUCUGAAUAUGGGGGGACCAUCCUCCAAGGCUAAAUACUCCUGACUGACCGAUAGUGAACCAGUACCGUGAGGGAAAGGCGAAAAGAACCCCUGUGAGGGGAGUGAAAUAGAACCUGAAACCGUGUACGUACAAGCAGUGGGAGCCCUUCGGGGUGACUGCGUACCUUUUGUAUAAUGGGUCAGCGACUUACAUUUUGUAGCGAGGUUAACCGUAUAGGGGAGCCGUAGGGAAACCGAGUCUUAACUGGGCGUCUAGUUGCAAGGUGUAGACCCGAAACCGGGUGAUCUAGCCAUGGGCAGGUUGAAGGUUGAGUAACAUCAACUGGAGGACCGAACCCACUAACGUUGCAAAGUUAGGGGAUGACCUGUGGCUGGGGGUGAAAGGCCAAUCAAACUCGGAGAUAGCUGGUUCUCCCCGAAAGCUAUUUAGGUAGCGCCUCGGACGAAUACUACUGGGGGUAGAGCACUGUUUGGGCUAGGGGGUCAUCCCGACUUACCAACCCCAUGCAAACUCCGAAUACCAGUAAGUAAUAUCCGGGAGACACACGGCGGGUGCUAACGUCCGUCGUGAAGAGGGAAACAACCCAGACCGCCGGCUAAGGUCCCAAAGUUCUGGUUAAGUGGGAAACGAUGUGGGAAGGCUCAGACAGCUAGGAUGUUGGCUUAGAAGCAGCCAUCAUUUAAAGAAAGCGUAAUAGCUCACUAGUCGAGUCGGCCUGCGCGGAAGAUGUAACGGGGCUCAAACCAGGCACCGAAGCCGCGGAUUCACGCUAAGCGUGAGUGGUAGGGGAGCGUUCUGUAAGUCUGCGAAGGUGUAUCGAGAGGUAUGCUGGAG
rnacentral:rRNA from 1 species